AUGAGAGAGCUGGACCUCAGCAUUAACAACCUCACAGACUCAGGAUUGAAACAUCUGCUCCCUGUGUUUGAAGACCCACGUGUGCAUCUAGAGAGAUUAUGGCUGAAUAAUUGCAAUCUCACACAUGAAAGCUGUCGGAUAAUGGGUUAUGUAAACAAACCAGAACACUCAGGUCUGAGAGAGCUGAACCUCAGUGCUAAUGCAAUACUGGACUCGGGCUUGAAGCAGCUUUCAGUGACACUUUGCCAUCUUCUGUCAGGACUGCAGUCACUGAGUGUAACAUACUGUGGGCUUACGGCAGAUGGGUGUGCUGUUCUGGCAUCCGCUCUCAGCUCUAACCAGUCACAGCUAAAAGCACUGGAUCUCAGAGGAAAUAAACUGACGGAAUCAGGAGUGAAGCUGCUCUCAGAUCUACUUGACGAUCCUCAAAGUAAAUUAGAAGAACUUGAAUUCAUGGAUGGAAUAAUAUCCAAAAAUCAGGCACCUAUUGAUGACUCCCACAAACAGGAUGCUCUACCUGAAAAUCCACCAAAAUCAAAGAACAAAAAACAAAAGACAUGUGCGUAUGCUUUAAAAAAAUGUGACUCUGUUAUUAGUUUAUUUAAUGUCUUGUGUGAGUUGGACAAGCUUGCUUACAGCUGUGUUACACCAGUCCAGUUAAGCAGACUUGAAGGAGAGCUUUAUAUAAGAUGACUGGUUAAAGUGUGACAUCUACUGUGAACAGGAUGGGCCAUGACAUAUUAACUCAUGGGAACGUGAAAAAAAUGUUGUAGCCUUAAAAUCCCAUUGAGGGAACACCAUCCAUUUCUUGUGAGUUUAAUAUGUAAACAAUCGUAAAACAAUAUUUUAUUUUGAAUGAAGAAAUGAUUAUAUUAAUUAUUACAGAAAUUAUUACAUUAUCAAAUUAUUAUUUUAGCCAUAGGCCUAGGUGACCGGAUUGUAUUGCACGCAAUGUAGACAGCAUUCAAAUGAAGUUUAUCAUGAAUAAAUGUUACAUAAAGUACAUAAAAUAGACCUUCAAAAAAAAAAAAAAAAAAAAAAAAAAAAAUUUUUUAUCCGUUAGCUCAAACAUUUAAUACGUCCAAGUAAACACACACACCCAGAACAGUGGGGAGCAGUUGGGGGUUGCUCAAGGGUCUCACCUCAGUCAUGGUAUUGAGGGUGGAAGAGAGUGCUGGCUUUUCACUUCCCCCACCAACAAUCUCUGCCAGACCUGAGACUCAAACCCGCAACCUUCAGGUUACAAGUCCAACACUCUAACCAUUAUGCCACGACUGCCCCUAACAUUUAUGCUGAAUGACUGGAAUUUUUACUGGAAGUGCCGUUUUAAAGGUUGAAUUUAACAUAUAUUUUAUUUUACUUCAGCUAAUUAAUAGGCUUUAAUUAUAAAUACUAUAGUGUUUCAUUGAAAAAUAAAUAAUUUGUGUAUCAUUUGUAAAUGAAAACACAACACGCUCAUUUAUCGUCACACGGGCGUAAAUACUAUCAUAAAGUCAAAACUUUACUGGCAUAAUUGUCAGGCAUUUACAGUGUUUGCAAAAUAUAUGGUAGCAUAUUAAUAAUAAUUAUACAGAGCAUUAAUUGGUAAAGCAAUAAGCAAACUGAAAAGUGAAAUACAACAAUUUAUAUAAAAAUAUAGCCUUAACCAGUUAAUAUAAUAAUAUUAUAUUAUAAUUAAAUAAUAAUAAUAAUAAUAUGAAAAUAUAAUAUAUAAUAUAGUUAACAAAUUUACAAGGCUGUGGGAUGUAUAAUUUUUUUAUCCAUCUCUGAUAAACGCAGGUUACUAUGGUCAUGCAGUUUUGUUCACGCAUUAAACUCAUGGCCACAAGAAAUGUUGUUCCCUCAACACAGGAUCUCAAGGCUACGACAUAAGGAUGACAUUACCUCGACAAUGAUCUCGUGGCCACAACAUAUUAUCACGUUCCCAUGAGUUAAUAUGUCAUGGGCAAGUGAACCGAACAUGUUCCUCCCGGUCACCGUAGACAUCAGGUCUCAGUGUUGCUUAUCAUCUGAAUUAUUCUAACUGACAAGGAAAGGUCAUCAUGGAAACUACUUCUUGGAAAAUGGCCUAGAAUAUCUGUACAGAAUAUGCAGCAUGUGCGUGACAUGGCCUCAUGGGUACAGAAUGAAUCAUGCAUAGUUUCAUUCUUUAGCACGAACAGAAUGAUAAACACAUUUUGGAGUUGUACAAGGGAAACUAUGAGGAAUAGCAGGUUUGUCAGUCAGCUGCAGAUACAGGUGUUUGAAGAGAUGUUAUGUAAAUAUAGAUCCAAAUCUGCUGCAUUGUAAAACCUUUACUUCAGUAUACAUAUAUUGUAUAUAGACACAUUUAUACUAGAUUUAGUUUAUAUUAUUAUAGUUAAAACAUUUUGCUAUUGACAUCUGUUAAAUAUGUUAACUUGGCAAAUAAUCAUUCACUAUUUACUGUAAACUACUAACUCUUCUGAGAUCCUAAGCAUCUGACUUUAUCAUCUAUCGUUCCACCUGGAAACCAGUCACAAUACCCUAUCAACUGCCUAGUAACAGCCUAGAAAAGUUAAGUCUUAGGCUAAAUGCCUAGCAGUGACUCAAAACACCACCAAACAAGGUCCACAGCUGUUCAAAGCAUUAAAAAAAUGUGUCUUUAAAACAUUGAAUUCAGUCACUCAUCAAUCAACAAAAGUAUUCAAGCUACAUAAAACAUGUAUGACUUCAUAUUUGGAUCUAAUAUUAAAUCAAUCUAACACUGAAAUAGUAUCAGGCAAAAGAUAGAUUGCCUUUGUAGUUUUAUUAAUAAUUGUACCACAUAUUGAUUUAUGUCAAAAUAAUAGUCAUUGUAGACUGAAGCAUCUUUUUUAUUAAGUUUACAAAAUUAAACUCACAACAAUGAUGUAAGUCUGUGUAUGAACAGUAGAGGGCAGUACAGGAUCUUAAUGAGGCUCUUUAAGGGAAAUUAAGACAUUCCAGUGGAAAUAUUAUUAUCAUAUUCCUUGUGUCAAGAUAUGUCAUUCCUGAUUUGUUUGUCUCACGUAGUCUGCUCUUCUUACUUCUUUAUUUUUUAUUUAUGUAUUUAUUUAUUUUUUUACUAGCCUAAUACUGACAUUUGUCAAGUGAAGAUAUAAAACUGUGAAUGAAGAAUCUGGAGUCAAUACACAGAAAAAUGACCCAGCAUCAUCAAGUGUUUCAUUUGAAUGUUUAUUUAUAAAACCAGAAAAAGGGCAUCAUUUCAUUUAUAGUUAUUAUAAUUAUUACAGCAUAUCGUUUUUUCAUAUAACUUCAAAAUUUGUUGUAUUGAUAUUCAGAGUUCACCAACUCUUUCUCUGGUUGGUCUUAACAAACCAUUCUCCACACAGUUUCUCAUAUGGAAACAAUUAUAAAAUUGGACUUUGGUCAAAAGUUGGGCCUUUUUGUUUUGUAUAUUGCAUUGCCAGC